rnacentral:tRNA from 1 species
GGUAAGAUGGCUGAGUGUUAAAGCGUUAGGCCGUAGUCCUUUUUACAGGGGUUCAAUUCUUCUUCUUAUCG